rnacentral:rRNA from 1 species
AUGAACGCUAGCUACAGGCUUAACACAUGCAAGUCGAGGGGAAACGACAUCGAAAGCUUGCUUUUGAUGGGCGUCGACCGGCGCACGGGUGAGUAACGCGUAUCCAACCUGCCCAUCACUUGGGGAUAACCUUGCGAAAGUAAGACUAAUACCCAAUGAUAUCUCUAGAAGACAUCUGAAAGAGAUUAAAGAUUUAUCGGUGAUGGAUGGGGAUGCGUCUGAUUAGCUUGUUGGCGGGGUAACGGCCCACCAAGGCAACGAUCAGUAGGGGCUCUGAGAGGAAGGUCCCCCACAUUGGAACUGAGACACGGUCCAAACUCCUACGGGAGGCAGCAGUGAGGAAUAUUGGUCAAUGGACGAGAGUCUGAACCAGCCAAGUAGCGUGCAGGAUGACGGCCCUAUGGGUUGUAUACUGCUUUUAUAAGGGAAUAAAGUGAGUCUCGUGAGACUUUUUGCAUGUACCUUAUGAAUAAGGACCGGCUAAUUCCGUGCCAGCAGCCGCGGUAAUACGGAAGGUCCGGGCGUUAUCCGGAUUUAUUGGGUUUAAAGGGAGCGUAGGCCGGAGAUUAAGCGUGUUGUGAAAUGUAGAUGCUCAACAUCUGAACUGCAGCGCGAACUGGUUUCCUUGAGUACGCACAAAGUGGGCGGAAUUCGUGGUGUAGCGGUGAAAUGCUUAGAUAUCACGAAGAACUCCGAUUGCGAAGGCAGCUCACUGGAGCGCAACUGACGCUGAAGCUCGAAAGUGCGGGUAUCGAACAGGAUUAGAUACCCUGGUAGUCCGCACGGUAAACGAUGGAUGCCCGCUGUUGGUCUGAAUAGGUCAGCGGCC